CUACUCAUCCAGCAUAUCACAACACCACUUUGGCUGUGGCAAAGAGAAUACUGGCAUUUUCUUUCCUCAAUUCAAUCAGCAUUCUCCUAUUCAGUUAAUACAAUUCAGUUACCAUUAAGUUAGUGAAUACAAAACCUAUGCAGGCUGCCCAAGGAAUCAUAAAUGAUUGUUUUGUGGGGAGGUGGUGGUUCCUAUACCCAGAAGACUGGCUUUUGCACCCCCCCUCCCU
rnacentral:lncRNA from 1 species